ensembl:lncRNA
ACUACAAUUUCUGGCUCUGCGGGCGGCGAGCGGCGGCCGGCGGGUAGAGUUCGGGACGGUCUGGGGGUCCCGGCGCCGCCCUGGAUCCGGAGUAGGAAGGGAGCGCACAUCUUGAGUCUUCCACCCCGAUCCAGUCGGAGAAGGAAUCCCGCCUGCCUCCGCGGAGAGGGACCAAAAUGGAAAUGUUACCGAACCGAACUUGGGUCUGCUCGCCUGCUGCACAGAAAAGACAAUCUACUGACACCGGGUUGUGGUGAAGGAAAGUACAGCGUUUAUUUGCAGGGUGCCAAGCAAGGAGAACAAACAGGCAGCACGUGUUCAAAAGACCCGAACUCCCCCAUGGCUUUCAGGGAUGGGUUUAUUUCUUUAUUUCUUUCUUUUUUUUUUUUCUUUAAGGGCAACUUUUGGGGUGAGGGUUGCAGCUCAUGGGCUUUCUUUCUUUUGGUUGGUGGUACCUAACAAGAUGAUGUUUUGGAAAUCUUAAUCAUCAACCUUCAGGUUCCACCCAGUCUGGGGUCCACCUGUGUGUGGUCAGCAUGUAGUCACCAUCCUCCACCUGAGUGGAGGGGUGUAGUUUCUACAGAAAAGCUCAAAGAUAUGCAUCAGAUUGUUAUACAUAUUACUUGAGGAGGAAGUAGGGCUCUGUUUUAUCGCUGAACUGUUGUUUAAGCUAUUAUAACUUUCUUGCUCACCUGCAUUCCCUCACUUCCCUAAUUGGUAACUGUUUGAGUCUACUUUUUGGAACUCAGGAAAGGCCUAGGAGACUAAAACUUUUCUCCUACAAACAAGACAUGGGGGAUAUGGAGGGGCUUUUGUACCUGGGAGUGCCCCAUAUGGUCCUGCUUGGUCUCAAUCUCCUCUUUUCUUUGAUACUCCUCAAUCCUAAAGGGAGCAGGGGUGGGACAACAAAGGGAACACGUUUUGGAUAGAGAUUAAUCAUAAACUUGUUUGAGGAACUCGGUUUUAGGCAGACUUGGUUUUGGAAACUCCUUGCAGGUAAAUCAUGAUGUGGUUUAUGAAAAUAUGAUAAAAAAUAAGACUUGGAACUCUAGCUGUCGUAUUCACAAAAAGACCUCAAUGAAACUAAAAAAACCUAUCUUGACCGUAAACAUGUAUUUAUUUGUAUGUUUUAAGUUAGAUAAAAUAUUGAGGUUAAGUGUGUUCUGUAUUUUAAAAUUGUUUUAUUGAUUAAUAUUUAAAAAGUUAACUCACCAACUCCUGGGUCUUAUCUUGUCAGAUAAGAAGAUUUUUAUCUCACACUGAUAAAAUGAAAUUUUUGGAAUUCUGUAUAAUAUCAUAAACAGGUGCUUGUCAUAUAUGGUUAAAUGAGAGAGGAGGCCAUUCCAUUUUUGUAAAAACAUGUUUAGAACAGAGAAGAAUAUAAAAUGAAUGGUGGGUAGUGGGAUUGGUCUGAUUUUUAUGCUCUCAAUUUUAUUAUUUUUAUAAUUUUACUACAAUUUUGUUUUACUUUCUUAAUACAAGUUAAUAAAAGUCACUCCUUAAAG